rnacentral:tRNA from 1 species
GCCUUCGUAGUGUAACGGUAGCACACUCGGCGUGUAUUCCAGAGGUCCAGGUUUGAGUCUCGGCGAAGGCG